CAAGAAGAAGGUUUAGAAAGACAAGACAGGAGAGGAAGAAGAGACGUUACAUUUAAAGCAAUUUCUCACCUGAGGUUCAUCAUCCUGUUUACCAGCCACUUCUGAAGGCAGUUGCUUGGAGCCCUUUGUCGCUGGACUACUGUGUAACAUUCAUUUUCCGUGCCCCGCCUUGAGACCCUGUUCGUGAGUGUGGCAGUUGCAGUGAGC